rnacentral:sRNA from 1 species
CUAAAUAAUAAAUAGACGAUCCAUAAAAAACACUAGUGGAUCGAAAAUGAGAAAUAAUAAUUAACGACUUUUCCUGUAACCAAGAUGUAAAUCAUAUAUAUGAAAGUUGACCAACACUCUCCAUAUGAUUGACACAUCAUCACACAAGAAAAUGACAUGUGUCAUUCUACAUUAGUUAAAUUAAAAAACUAGCAAAAAUAAUUGAGAAAAAAUCAAAAAUCUUUUGUUGUAUUAAAUUCUCCAUUAAUCUCAGUCUUAAAUGAAUUUUCUAAA